rnacentral:rRNA from 1 species
AGCAGCCGCGGUAAUUCCAGCUCCAAUAGCGUAUAUUAAAGUUGUUGCAGUUAAAAAGCUCGUAGUUGAAUCUCGGGAUCAAUAUGUCGGUCGUGCCUUCGGUACGUACUGGCAUCAUUGGUUUCUCCCUUCUGACAAACCAUGAUGUCAUUAAUUUGGUGUUAUGGGGAGUUAGGACUGUUACUUUGAAAAAAUUAGAGUGUUUAAAGCAGGCAUUAGCUUGAAUACAUUAGCAUGGAAUAAUGAAAUAGGACGUUUGACCCUAUUUUGUUGGUUUCUAGGAUCGGCGUAAUGAUUAAUAGGGAUAGUUGGGGGCAUUAGUAUUCAAUUGUCAGAGGUGAAAUUCUUGGAUUUAUUGAAGACUAACUACUGCGAAAGCAUUUGCCAAGGAUGUUUUCAUUAAUCAAGAACGAAAGUUAGGGGAUCGAAGACGAUCAGAUACCGUCGUAGUCUUAACCAUAAACUAUGCCGACUAGGGAUCGGAUGAUGUUAAUUUUUUAAUGACUCAUUCGGCGCCUUACG